CAGUCGCCGCGGGAAUACAGAGGGUGCGAGCGUUAAUCGGAUUUACUGGGCGUAAAGCGUGCGUAGGCGGCUUUUUAAGUCGGAUGUGAAAUCCCUGAGCUUAACUUAGGAAUUGCAUUCGAUACUGGUAAGCUAGAGUAUGGGAGAGGAUGGUAGAAUUCCAGGUGUAGCGGUGAAAUGCGUAGAGAUCUGGAGGAAUACCGAUGGCGAAGGCAGCCAUCUGGCCUAAUACUGACGCUGAGGUACAAAAGCAUGGGGAGCAAACAGGAUUAGAUACCCCGGUAGUCCCUGUCUCUUAUAC
rnacentral:rRNA from 1 species